rnacentral:rRNA from 1 species
CUGUUCCCAUGCCGAACACAGAAGUUAAGCUCUUUAGCGCCGAUGGUAGUUGGGCUUACGUUCCGCGAGAGUAGGACGCUGCCGGGC